GAACGGGAUUAUCGGGAUAAAUUCGCUGGAAACGGUUGAAUAUCGACGCUUCCUGAACAAUAUCUGAUUGUUGUCGUGAUUAAAUUUUUAAAGUUUGAAUUUACAUCCACGAUUCAUAGGAUCUUGAUCAGACUUUUGAUAAAUUUUAAUCGGGAAUGGUCCUGUCAAGGACGGCAGUAAAAAUCGUGAAUGUGUGACCCCAGCUUAACAGAUUCCUACUGGUCGGGAAGGGUCCGAAUAGUUCGGCAAAUCACCCCGACAGUUAGGUGCGUCCCGAAACAUUCGGGGAAACUCAGCCGAUUUUGUCUAGUCGGAUUACAAUCGUGCCUACGUCGUGACAGAUUCUGCUGUACCGGAUCGAAUUCCUAACAGUGUUCUGUGUAUUCGGGACGGUGUCCUGUGGAACGGGAAUGAUCUGGAGAAAUUUUUCAUUGCUGU
rnacentral:lncRNA from 1 species